UUUUUUUUUGAAAACCCCCCUUUCUUUAUGAGCACACCAAAAAAAAAGGAGAGAGAGGAAAAACACACAACACACACAAAAAAAAAAGAAGAGAGAGAAAAUGAUUUUUCAACAUCCUUUUUUUUUUCUUUUAA
rnacentral:ribozyme from 13 species